UACGGAGGGUGCAAGCGUUAAUCGGAAUUACUGGGCGUAAAGCGUGCGCAGGCGGCGCGUUAAGACAGGUGUGAAAGCCCCGAGCUUAACUUGGGAAUUGCGCUUGUGACUGGCGAGCUGGAGUGUGGCAGAGGGAGGUGGAAUUCCACGUGUAGCAGUGAAAUGCGUAGAGAUGUGGAGGAACACCGAUGGCGAAGGCAGCCUCCUGGGCCAGCACUGACGCUCAUGCACGAAAGCGUGGGGAGCAAACAGG
rnacentral:rRNA from 1 species